GACGAACGCUGGCGGCGUGCUUAACACAUGCAAGUCGAACGGAAAGGCCCUGCUUUUGUGGGGUGCUCGAGUGGCGAACGGGUGAGUAACACGUGAGUAACCUGCCCUUGACUUUGGGAUAACUUCAGGAAACUGGGGCUAAUACCGGAUAGGAGCUCCUGCUGCAUGGUGGGGGUUGGAAAGUUUCGGCGGUUGGGGAUGGACUCGCGGCUUAUCAGCUUGUUGGUGGGGUAGUGGCUUACCAAGGCUUUGACGGGUAGCCGGCCUGAGAGGGUGACCGGCCACAUUGGGACUGAGAUACGGCCCAGACGCCUACGGGAGGCAGUAGGGGGGAAUAUGGCACAAUGGGCGGAAGCCUGAUGCAGCAACGCCGCGUGCGGGAUGACGGCCUUCGGGUUGUAAACCGCUUUCGCCUGUGACGAAGCGUGAGUGACGGUAAUGGGUAAAGAAGCACCGGCUAACUACGUG
rnacentral:rRNA from 1 species